rnacentral:pre_miRNA from 1 species
GAGUGAUGGUGUCACGCACAGUGCCGGGAGGUGGCAUCAGGUGCUAACUCGUUUCCUGAUAUCAUCACCCAGCAUCGCGCAUGUCCAUCAAGCACC